rnacentral:lncRNA from 1 species
UCAUACUUAUAUUUUUAUUUUUAUAAAUUUCAACAGUUUUUGACAUUUUCUUAUAUAUCAAAAUUACUACAAAACGCUUCUAUUCUCAUACAACUUAAGAUAAAAAUUUUACAACCAUUUUUCAACUUUCACACACUUCAAAAUACCUCCUGUUUACAUUACUGACUACAUAUACGCUACUGUAAACAAGUAUUUAUUUUCUGAUGAUAUGGGCUUACAAUAAUUCUUUCUUUGCAGCACAUAGUCCUCUAUUCAACUGUUUUUUUUAUCGUCUUUGAAAUCACUUCCAAACUCAGACUGUUUGGAAUACUUCUUUAAAAUUUUUAAUUUUAUCCUAUUCAAUUUUAAAAAUAAUUUUUAUGAUUUUUUUGGUAAACUUGUAAAAAUAUGUAAUUUUACUAUUUCAGUGAAAUAUGCACUAAUAAAUUAUGUCCAAACAAUUAACUUCUAAUGUAGGAAUUUGAAUUUGUUUACACAAUAAUAAAUUCAUAUACUGUACCCUAAAUAAAAGUAUUCCUUACUUUCUGAAAUUGAAUACAAAACUACACCAUAUUCAAAAGAAAUCCUAAAACUUAAAAAGUUAAAAUAAACUUUCAACCAGGAAGUAAGUUCCACACAAUCUGAGAAGUGGAUUCCACAAUGAUUAUUUUUAGACAUCUGUCCAUACUACAUGCUCAUGAUUUUAAAUAUUUUUCAAUAUUUUAAAAGUCUUGUACAUUUCUUAUUAAGCUAAGAAAAAAACAUUACUAAAACUAUAUGUGUACAUUAUCAGUCUCAUAAAUAUAAUAUAAUAUUUCUGUGGUUAUAUUUCUGACUAGAAUCAACCUAUGUUCAUAAGUUUUUAGUAUAAUGCAAGAAAAAUAAAUCAUUUAUAAAUGAUGUUUACCAACACUUUAGCCUAAAUUUAAAGUAUAAACUGUAUAUCCAAAAGAUAAAUCUACAAGAGCGUACUUUAUAAUAUUAAAGUUUUGAUUGUUGAACCGAUCUACCGGUAAUAAAUAUAUGAAAAUGGUUCAGUUUUGAGUAAUGUAGCUAUCUGUACAAUGAAUGCAGUUUCAAUUUCAAAAUAACUUUCUGAAAAUUAAAAUUUGAAGGUAUAA